CUGAGUUUUGAAAAGGGUUGUAGCUGGUCUUUUAAUAAGACAUGUGCACGCUCUGCUCAUCCACUCUUAACCCUAUGUGCACCUGUGUAGAGGUUUGGUGAAUCUUGGCCGAAAGGCUGAUAGGAUCCUACUUCUAUGUCUUUUAUACAAACGCUUUAGUAAUAGAAUGUUAUCUUGUGUUUAACACAUUAUAAUA
rnacentral:misc_RNA from 1 species